rnacentral:rRNA from 1 species
UACGUAGGGUGCAAGCGUUAAUCGGAAUUACUGGGCGUAAAGCGUGCGCAGGCGGUUGGAUAAGACAGAUGUGAAAUCCCCGGGCUUAACCUGGGAACCGCAUUUGUGACUGUCUGACUGGAGUAUGUCAGAGGGGGGUGGAAUUCCACGUGUAGCAGUGAAAUGCGUAGAUAUGUGGAAGAACACCGAUGGCGAAGGCAGCCCCCUGGGGCAAAACUGACGCUCAUGCACGAAAGCGUGGGGAGCAAACAGG